AAGACGACAUGCCGUCCAAAGGUGGUAGUUGUGGGACGUGACACAUUCCAGUUCAGCAGGUGAUGCUCUGUCGCUGCAGCGGUGCCGGUGCACAGUACUGCGGUUGGGUUGCGCUGAGCAGAGCAGGAAGGAUGGCGACCAAGGUGGUGGACCUGUGGUCGUCCGACCGACGCGGUCAACAAGCUCUCCGAGGCCAUGCGUGCCGACGUCGUCGACGACGUCCGUGGCUGGCGCGAACCCGGACCGCGCGCCGCUUCCAGGAGGAGAUGGCGGCGAUCAUGGGAAGGAGGCCGCGCUCUUCGUCCCGUCGGGGACCACGGGCAACGUUGUCUCCGUCCUCGUGCACUGUGACGUCCGGAGGUCAUCCUUGGUUACGACUCUCACAUAUACAGAAGAACGCCGACGGCACCACGGACAUGGACAGGAUCUUCGCCGCAAUCAGGCCUCCGGGAGGGGGGGCUGUAUUACCCGGCCAACAGGCUCAUCUGCCUCGAGAAUGCACACGUUCUCGAGGGAAAUGUUUAUCCGUACAAUACAGUGACAUGGUUCAAGGUUGGCCAAAAUUGCCAAGAGGCAAGAGUCAUGGCCAGCUUCGUACCGACGGAUCUCGCAUUUUUAACGCCUUUGAGUUGGCAACACGUUCCAGUGCCAGAAUCGCCAGCAAGCCUAAAUCCAACCUCACAAUGGAGGAGCAGGCCACAAUGGAGGAGCAGGCCACUGCUUUGCUGAUGAAGCGCAGUGGCACUAUUCCUGAUCAUGCUGAACCAAAUGAACAAGAUCAUGCGAGGUUCAGAGCACAGUUUGUGGAUCAUCUGAAUGUAGAAG
rnacentral:misc_RNA from 1 species